rnacentral:ncRNA from 1 species
GAAAUGACGAUGAACGGAAGAGUAGUUAUAUCAUGAUAGCAACAGCGAGCUGGGAGUGGUGUGAGCCGGCACUGUCAAAUAUAAUGAAAAUCAUCCGCGAGUUGCGAGCUGAAUUGAUUAGUAGGCUACGCCGGGUUCUCUUUAGAGAAAUUGCCGCCCGUUACUGCGGCGAGGUAUCGAGUUUAACCUCCGUACCUAUGAGCAGCUAUGGUUAUUAACCAUAGAAUUUGGGUGGUAUCGCGGAUUAACCUCCGUCCCUUUU